GAUGAAGAACGCAGCGAAAUGCGAUAAGUAGUGUGAAUUGCAGAAUUCCGUGAAUCAUCGAAUCUUUGAACGCACAUUGCGCCCUCUGGUAUUCCGGGGGGCAUGCCUGUCCGAGCGUCAUUUGCAACCCUCAAGCCCGGCUUGUGUGAUGGGUGCCGUCCCCUACGGGACGCGCCCCGAAGGCAAUGGCGGCGUCGCGGUUAUCCGAUCAGCCAAAGUGUAUGGGGCUUUGUCACUCACUUUACGGCCCGGACCGGCGCCAGUCCGAAUCAAUCUUUUUUCUAAAGUUGACCUCGGAUCAGGUAGGGAUACCCGCUGAACUUAAGCAUAUCAAUAAGCGGAGGA
rnacentral:misc_RNA from 1 species